AUUGAACGCUGGCGGCAGGCCUAACACAUGCAAGUCGAGCGGAUGAAGGGAGCUUGCUCCUGGAUUCAGCGGCGGACGGGUGAGUAAUGCCUAGGAAUCUGCCUGGUAGUGGGGGAUAACGUCCGGAAACGGGCGCUAAUACCGCAUACGUCCUGAGGGAGAAAGUGGGGGAUCUUCGGACCUCACGCUAUCAGAUGAGCCUAGGUCGGAUUAGCUAGUUGGCGGGGUAAAGGCCUACCAAGGCGACGAUCCGUAACUGGUCUGAGAGGAUGAUCAGUCACACUGGAACUGAGACACGGUCCAGACUCCUACGGGAGGCAGCAGUGGGGAAUAUUGGACAAUGGGCGAGAGCCUGAUACAGCCAUGCCGCGUGUGUGAAGAAGGUCUUCGGAUUGUAAAGCACUUUAAGUUGGGAGGAAGGGCAGUAAGUUAAUACCUUACUGUUUUGACGUUACCAACAGAAUAAGCACCGGCUAACUUCGUG
rnacentral:rRNA from 1 species